rnacentral:lncRNA from 1 species
CUUGGCGAAGCCCUCGGUGGUGCCGGUCUGGGUGCCGAAGAAGAUGGUGACGCGCUUCCUGCCGUCAUCGGCGUCGUCGACGUCGACCUUGACGGGCGGCGGGCGGAACGAGGCGGGGGGCGGCUUGGGUGGCGUGGACCCGCCAGAUCGGAGCCAGAAGGCGAGGACGAGCAGCCCCGCGACGAGCGCGGCCGCGGUGGCCGCGAGCGCGGCGAGCGGGUCGCCCCCCGCCGCCGCGGCCAGCUCCGGCGGCAGCACGGACGCCGCCCACUCGCUCGCCGCCUCCAGCAGCGCCAUC